rnacentral:rRNA from 1 species
ACGAACGCUGGCGGCGUGCUUAACACCUGCAAGUCGAACGGAAAGGCCCUGCUUUUGUGGGGUGCUCGAGUGGCGAACGGGUGAGUAACACGUGAGUAACCUGCCCUUGACUUUGGGAUAACUUCAGGAAACUGGGGCUAAUACCGGAUAGGAGCUCCUGCUGCAUGGUGGGGGUUGGAAAGUUUCGGCGGUUGGGGAUGGACUCGCGGCUUAUCAGCUUGUUGGUGGGGUAGUGGCUUACCAAGGCUUUGACGGGUAGCCGGCCUGAGAGGGUGACCGGCCACAUGGGGACUGGGAUACGGCCCAGACUCCUACGGGAGGCAGCGGUGGGGAAUAUUGCACAAUGGGCGGAAGCCGGAUGCAGCAACGCCGCGUGGGGGAGGACGGCCUUCGGGUGGUAAACCGCUUUCGCCUGUGACGAGGCGUGAGUGACGGAAAUGGUAAAGAAGCACCGGCUAACUACGUG